rnacentral:rRNA from 1 species
AUUGAACGCUGGCGGCAGGCUUAACACAUGCAAGUCGAGCGGUAACAGAGAGAAGCUUGCUUCUCUGCUGACGAGCGGCGGACGGGUGAGUAAUGCCUAGGAAUCUGCCUAGUAGUGGGGGAUAACUUGCCGAAAGGUAAGCUAAUACCGCAUACGCCCUACGGGAGAAAGGAGGGGACCUUCGGGCCUUUCGCUAUUAGAUGAGCCUAGGUCGGAUUAGUUAGUUGGUGAGGUAAUGGCGCCCCAAGACCGCGAUCCGUAACUGGUCUGAGAGGAUGAUCAGUCAAACUGGAACGGAGACACUGUCCAGACUCCUACGGGAGGCAGCAGUGGGGAAUAUUGGACAAUUGGGGGAACCCUGACCCAGCCAUGCCGCGUGUGUGAAGAAGGUCUUAGGAUUGUAAAGCACUUAAAAUUGGGAGGAAGAGCAGUUAACUAAUAUUUGACUGUUUUGACGUUACCAACAGAAUAAGCACCGGCUAACUUCGUGCCAGCAGCGGCCGUAA